UACGAAGGGGGCUAGCGUUGCUCGGAAUCACUGGGCGUAAAGGGUGCGUAGGCGGGUCUUUUAAGUCAGGGGUGAAAUCCUGGAGCUCAACUCCAGAACUGCCUUUGAUACUGAAGGUCUUGUAGUUCGGGAGAGGUGAGUGGAACUGCGAGUGUAGAGGUGAAAUUCGUAGAUAUUCGCAAGAACACCAGUGGCGAAGGCGGCUCACUGGCCCGAUACUGACGCUGAGGCACGAAAGCGUGGGGGAGCAAACAGG
rnacentral:rRNA from 1 species